rnacentral:rRNA from 1 species
UACCAACACCCCGAGUGGUCGGGACGUUUAUUGGGCCUAAAGCAUCCGUAGCCGGUUCUACAAGUCUUCCGUUAAAUCCACCUGCUUAACAGAUGGGCUGCGGAAGAUACUAUAGAGCUAGGAGGCGGGAGAGGCAAGCGGUACUCGAUGGGUAGGGGUAAAAUCCGUUGAUCCAUUGAAGACCACCAGUGGCGAAGGCGGCUUGCCAGAACGCGCUCGACGGUGAGGGAUGAAAGCUGGGGGAGCAAACCGG